UCGGAUAUGGUACAACGGUCAACAUUAGCGCCUCUCCUGUGCGCGCUAGUUCGGGGUUCGAUCCCUGGUAUCCAAU